rnacentral:rRNA from 1 species
AUUCCACGGUUUCCGCGCCGCAGCUAACGCAUUAAGUGCCCCGCCUGGGGAGUACGGCCGCAAGGCUAAAACUCAAAGGAAUUGACGGGGGCCCGCACAAGCGGCGGAGCAUGCGGAUUAAUUCGAUGCAACGCGAAGAACCUUACCAAGGCUUGACAUGUUCUCGAUCGCCGUAGAGAUACGGUUUCCCCUUUGGGGCGGGUUCACAGGUGGUGCAUGGUUGUCGUCAGCUCGUGUCGUGAGAUGUUGGGUUAAGUCCCGCAACGAGCGCAACCCUCGUUCCAUGUUGCCAGCACGUAAUGGUGGGGACUCAUGGAAGACUGCCGGGGUCAACUCGGAGGAAGGUGAGGACGACGUCAAAUCAUCAUGCCCCUUAUGUCUUGGGCUUCACGCAUGCUACAAUGGCCGGUACAAUGGGUUGCGAUACUGUGAGGUGGAGCUAAUCCCAAAAAGCCGGUCUCAGUUCGGAUUGGGGUCUGCAACUCGACCCCAUGAAGUCGGAGUCGCUAGUAAUCGCAAAUCAGCAACGCUGCGGUGAAAUACGU